rnacentral:lncRNA from 1 species
AAUUCAAGAAAGGCCGCGGGGCUCUGCCCCAGGGGAGGCCCGGCCAGGGUGCAGCCCACAGGCCACGCGCCUCCAGGGCCGGCUCUCUGCUCCUCCUGGCAGGACAGCUGUGCCCGGGGCCACGCUCCCCUUUUCCACAGAAACGUGGCCCCUCGGGAGAGCCACCACUGGCAGGCACGCGCCAGCUGCCUGGCUCAGUCCAGGCCCCAGGAUGACCUGAGGACCCCACGGACAGCUCUCAGUCCCCCUCCAACCCCGGGAGGAGAGGCCAGGGACAGCCAGGCCCAGCAGGGCAGGCAGCUGGCACUCGGGCCGGGAGUGGGCAUCACACACACCCACUGGGUUGCCUGGGUGCUCCCCGCACCUUCUCCACGGCUCCCCAUCCCAUGUCACCCUGGGGGGAGGCCCGAGGCUGGCAGGGAGGUCAGGAGGCCUCUCAGGGACCGCGUGAGGGCAGGGAAGCGUCUGCCCAGUGCCGGCCCGGUGACAGGCUCGGCUCCGGGCAAAGCUUCCUGGCCUACAGCCGCCUCACGCCCCAGCCCCUACACGGGGGCUGUGGGGCCCCGGCCUGACACGGAGCUGGUGCAGCAGGGCCGAGGGCAGAGGCUGCCGGGCUGGAGGUCAGAAGGCCUCCUGUGGGUGCUGCCAAGACAAGGGCCCCGACCCACGGCCCAGCCCCCUGGGUCGGGUGCCCCUUCCGUGGGUGGCUGGGUUUCUCUGCCCGUCUGCAGGGUUCCCUCCGUCCCCACGCGGACCAGGGAGCCUCGGCCGGGACCACACAGCGCGCCCUGGAACCCACGUUUGCAGCAGGGGCCGCGGAGCCCAACGGCGGGACGUCAGGCUGGGAGGGCUGCUCACGCGCGUGGCACCUGCUGUCAGGUCGGUCCCUGGCUCUCGGGGUUAAACCAGAAUGUAAACGGAGUGGGGGCAGCGUGCGGGACGGUGCCAAAAGCCGUCAUAGUUGGACCUUUGAUUCACAAGAGACCCGGCCACGAGUGUCACUCGUGCAAAGCCCAGGAAAUACUCUUCUUUUUUUUUUUUUUUUUUGCUUUGUAG